rnacentral:rRNA from 1 species
UUGCACGCUGGCGGCCGGCCUCACACAUGCAAGUCGAACGGUAACAGGAAGCAGCUUGCUGCUUCGCUGACGAGUGGCGGACGGGUGAGUAAUGUCUGGGAAGCUGCCUGAUGGAGGGGGAUAACUACUGGAAACGGUAGCUAAUACCGCAUAAUGUCGCAAGACCAAAGAGGGGGACCUUCGGGCCUCUUGCCAUCGGAUGUGCCCAGAUGGGAUUAGCUUGUUGGUGGGGUAACGGCUCACCAAGGCGACGAUCCCUAGCUGGUCUGAGAGGAUGACCAGCCACACUGGAACUGAGACACGGUCCAGACUCCUACGGGAGGCAGCAGUGGGGAAUAUUGCACAAUGGGCGCAAGCCUGAUGCAGCCAUGCCGCGUGUAUGAAGAAGGCCUUCGGGUUGUAAAGUACUUUCAGCGGGGAGGAAGGGAGUAAAGUUAAUACCUUUGCUCAUUGACGUUACCCGCAGAAGAAGCACCGGCUAACUCCGUG